rnacentral:rRNA from 1 species
GUAACACGUAUGCAACCUACCUAUAACUGGGGGAUAGCCCGAAGAAAUUCGGAUUAAUACCCUAUAAUAUUUACUACUCGCAUGAGUUGGUAUCUUAAAACUCCGGUGGUUAUAGAUGGGCAUGCGGCCUAUUAGUUUGUUGGUGAGGUAACGGCUCACCAAGACUACGAUAGGUAGGGGUUCUGAGAGGAUGAUCCCCCACACUGGUACUGAGACACGGACCAGACUCC